UAAGGAAUAUUGGACAAUGGAGGAAACUCUGAUCCAGCCAUCCCGCGUGCAGGAUGACGGCCCUAUGGGUUGUAAACUGCUUUUGUGAGGGAAGAACCGGCUUCAUUUAUGAGGCUUUGACGGUACCUUACGAAUAAGCACCGGCUAACUCCGUGCCAGCAGCCGCGGUAAUACGGAGGGUGCAAGCGUUAUCCGGAAUCACUGGGUUUAAAGGGUGCGUAGGCGGCUUGGUAAGUCAGGGGUGAAAGCC
rnacentral:rRNA from 1 species